CUCAUAGGCAGAUAGCCAAAGAAGGCAAAACUUUCAAAACAGCUUAAGAAACUUCAGUGUAUCCUGUCUUGACUUAAAGACUUCAAAUGAUGAAGGAUCUACCAGGUCUCUGGCUCCCGAAGAAAGCUGAGGUUCCUGCCAUGAGGAGAG